GCAUCCGUAGCUCAGCUGGAUAGAGUACUCGGCUACGAACCGAGUGGUCGGAGGUUCGAAUCCUUCCGGAUGCA
rnacentral:tRNA from 1 species